rnacentral:rRNA from 1 species
GACGUAGGGUGCGAGCGUUGUCCGGAUUUAUUGGGCGUAAAGAGCUCGUAGGCGGCUCGUCGCGUCAGUUGUGAAAACCCGCAGCUUAACUGUGGGCUUGCAGCUGAUACGGGCGGGCUAGAGUUCGGUAGGGGAGACUGGAAUUCCUGGUGUAGCGGUGAAAUGCGCAGAUAUCAGGAGGAACACCGGUGGCGAAGGCGGGUCUCUGGGCCGAUACUGACGCUGAGGAGCGAAAGCGUGGGGAGCGAACAGG